rnacentral:lncRNA from 1 species
AUGCCCCAGGGGCUCAACCAGCCACUCACAGCACCAGCCUCAGAAGGAAACUACACGCAAGCAUCCACGCAGUCACAGGAGGGCGUCCACCAGCAAACUGCCGCUCGUCUCCAACCUGGCACCUACCAACAAGCAGGCGCACAGAAGCAACCCUAUCAGUCUCAAACGGUGGGUCAAGCUUUUCUUUGGUUACAGGGCCAGCUUUUCACUUUGCUUUUUGGUUACUUUUUUCUAAAACAAAUAAUGACGACUAUCCUUGUUUUUGAUCAGCAUCACUACAGUCACCCCCUUGUAGGCAACACGCCGCUGUCUAGGAGCCCAGCAUGUGUUAGGCAUGGAAGUGCCUCCCUGGUUGAAAUGUUAAAAUAUGGGAAACUCUCCCAAACUGAGACAAGGAGUCCAUGCUCCAGUCCAUGUCUGUUACAAGAUGUGGCUUCACAAAACAGCACUAACCAUGCAAACUACCCGUCCUACCACUCUCAUCUGACUAAGCCAUUUCCAUCUUGCACCUUUCCCCCAAAUCAACGUCUUAGUCAUGACUCAAGAACACGUUUGAUGUCACCUCCUCAUCCUCUGACUUUACAGCGUCCCACAGAGCUGUGCUUAAGUGCCCCAAGCAGCCCGCCGUCACGGCAACACUGCGAGACUUGCAGGUCUGUUCUCCUGAACAACGCGCCGAGGACGGGCAGACCGCGGGGAAACACGUGCAUUCCCGCUUUCUCCUCAUCCUCUCAGCUUGCUUCAGUCUCUAGGCCACAUUCCCCCACAUCUCCUAAUCUGGUUAGGUCUCCUCCGUCCCACCAUUCCUGCUCACCUUCUCCAACAUCAAACACUCCGUCCUCGCAAGCUCCGCCCAUGUGGAGUUUAUAUGACAGUGGAGACCUCAACCUUCUCAACCAGCGUCUCCAUCACAUCCUCAAUUACAGGACCAGUUCCCCCAACCUCUGUGCUUAUAACCCAGGGAGCAGCCAAGGGGAUUUUGGAAGUUGUGCCUCCACAAUUCAUGACAAUAGACACAGAAGUCAGAGCAUGAAUGUCCCCUUGUUCUUCAGCCCAAGUCAGGACAGGAGAUCGCUGUCACCGUGUGACAUUGAAGGAAGACCAAGUCCUCUGGUAGGUUAG